UGUAGCUCAGUGGCAGAGCACUUGCCUAGCAUGCAUGAGGCACUGGGUUCAACCCACAGCA
rnacentral:tRNA from 1 species